rnacentral:rRNA from 1 species
AAAGGAAUUGACGGGGACCCGCACAAGCGGUGGAGCAUGUGGUUUAAUUUCGACGAUACGCGAAGAACCUUACCUGGCCUUGACAUACUAAAAAGCUUUAAGAGAUUAGAGUGUGCUAGCUUGCUAGAAUUUAGAUACAGGUGCUGCACGGCUGUCGUCAGCUCGUGUCGUGAGAUGUUGGGUUAAGUCCCGCAACGAGCGCAACCCUCGUGUUUAGUUGCUAACAGUUCGGCUGAGAACUCUAAACAGACUGCCUACGCAAGUAGGAGGAAGGUGAGGACGACGUCAAGUCAUCAUGGCCCUUACGGCCAGGGCUACACACGUGCUACAAUGGGGUAUACAAAGAGCAGCGAUACGGUGACGUGGAGCAAAUCUAGAAAAUGCCUCUCAGUUCGGAUUGUAGUCUGCAACUCGACUACAUGAAGUUGGAAUCGCUAGUAAUCGUAGAUCAGCAAUGCUACGGUGAAUACGUUCCCGGGUCUU